UAAAUUUCGUUGAUGAGAAGAGUAGCGACGGCGGUCACCUACAGAGAGCCCCGGCUGGUGAGAGGGGUGCUGAUCAAGGUCGUGAAGAUGAUCUCGGAGGAAGAGCGGGGGUCCUCGGGCUACCCGCUCCGGUGGCACCCGAUACCGUGCGGGGGAUGUAUGUCCUCGCUAAGGCUGCUUUGGCAGCGAAAUUGGGUGGUACCACGAAGUCCUCGUCCCAUGG
rnacentral:ncRNA from 1 species